AACGAACGCUGGCGGCAGGCCUAACACAUGCAAGUCGAGCGGACCUUUCGGGGUCAGCGGCGGACGGGUUAGUAACGCGUGGGAAUAUGCCCUUCUCUACGGAAUAGUCCUGGGAAACUGGGGGUAAUACCGUAUACGCCCUUUGGGGGAAAGAUUUAUCGGGGAAGGAUUAGCCCGCGUUGGAUUAGGUAGUUGGUGGGGUAAUGGCCUACCAAGCCGACGAUCCAUAGCUGGUUUGAGAGGAUGAUCAGCCACACUGGGACUGAGACACGGCCCAGACUCCUACGGGAGGCAGCAGUGGGGAAUCUUAGACAAUGGGGGCAACCCUGAUCUAGCCAUGCCGCGUGAGUGAUGAAGGCCUUAGGGUUGUAAAGCUCUUUCAGCUGGGAAGAUAAUGACGGUACCAGCAGAAGAAGCCCCGGCUAACUCCGUG
rnacentral:rRNA from 1 species